rnacentral:rRNA from 1 species
UACGUAGGGGGCAAGCGUUGUCCGGAUUUAUUGGGCGUAAAGAGCUCGUAGGCGGUUUGGUAAGUCUGGUGUGAAAUCUCCACGCUCAACGUGGAGGGGCCACCCGAUACUGCCAUGACUGGAGUCCGGUAGAGGAGUGUGGAAUUCCCGGUGUAGCGGUGAAAUGCGCAGAUAUCGGGAGGAACACCCGUAGCGAAGGCGGGUCUCUGGGCCAUAACUGACGCUGAGGAGCGAAAGCGUGGGGAGCGAACAGG